rnacentral:rRNA from 1 species
AACCUGCGGAAGGAUCAUUACCGAAUUGUUGACCGAGUUGUUGCUGGUCCUCUGUGGGGGCAUGUGCACUCUCUGUUUACACAUCCACUCACACCUGUGCACCCUUCAUAGUUCUGUGGUUCAGGAAGCUCUGUCCCCUGUGCCAUGGCUCUGUGCCUUUACAACUAUACGCUGUAAUGAAGUCUCAUGGAAUGUAUCCUGCGUUUAACGCAAUACAAUACAACUUUCAGCAACGGAUCUCUUGGCUCUCGCAUCGAUGAAGAACGCAGCGAAAUGCGAUAAGUAAUGUGAAUUGCAGAAUUCAGUGAAUCAUCGAAUCUUUGAACGCACCUUGCCCCCUUUGGCUAUUCCGAAGGGCAUGCCUGUUUGAGUAUCAUGAACAUCUCAACUCUCAUGGUCCUGCCAUGAUGAGCUUGGAUUUUGGGGGCUUUGCUGGCUUGUGUCAGCUCCUCUCAAAUGAAUCAGCUUGCCAGUGUUUGGUGGCGUCACAAGUGUGAUAACUAUCUACGCUUGUGGUUUUUCACCAGAUAACCUUCAGCGAUGGAGGUUCGCUGGGGCUCAUAAAUGUCUUUCCCCAGUGAGGACAACUCUUUGAACAUUUGAUCUCAAAUCAGGUAGGACUAAC